GGAGGUCGUGGCUGAGAGGUAGAGCAUCUGCUUGACUUGCAGAAAGUCCCAGGUUUGAUCUCUGGCAUCUCCA
rnacentral:tRNA from 1 species